UACGUAUGGGCGAGCGUUGUUCGGAAUUAUUGGGUGUAAAGGGCGUCUAGGCGGGAAUUAAGUUAGAUGUGAAAGGCGUGGGCUCAACCCGCGAACUGCAUCUAAACUGGUUUCUUGAGUUCGGGAGAGGAGAGCGGAAUUCCUGGUGUAGCGGUGAAAUGCGUAGAUAUCAGGAAGAACACCAGUGGCGAAGGCGGCUCUCUGGCCUAGAACUGACGCUGAAGCGCGAAAGCGUGGGGAGCGAACGGG
rnacentral:rRNA from 1 species